rnacentral:tRNA from 1 species
GGAGGGGUGGUUCAGUGGCAGAGAGCUUGCCUAGAAUGUAAGAAAUCCUGGGUUUAAUCCUCAACACUUCCA